CUCUUUCUCAGAGUCCUUAAUAUACCUGCUUCCCUUGUCUGCCAUUAUGGAUUUUAUUGGCAUCACUCCUUCAGCUAUCUGAGAAAGAAAAGUCAUUAAUGCUGAGAAAGGUUAUUUCCCACCUAAACAAUUGAUGAGGAUUCAUGGUCAAAAAGAGAGAAAUUGGAUCAAAAGCUCACCCCCUAAAGGUAAAUAUGGCCUGACCUGAGGACAAACAAGCAGCCACCACCCCACCAAAAGAGACCGGCUUAUGCCUAUUCAUGAGACUCUGGGCUCCUGUCUGCUGCUUUUGCUCUGCUCCCAGUAGCUAUCAUCAGAGAACAAUUGAAAAUGGAAAUAAAGGAACCCAGCUACAGAGGAGGAAGAGGAGAGAUGUCCAUCUGAGCACAGGGCCCAGAAUCAGGUGCUGAUUUCAAGAGAUGGAUUACAAACACUUGGAUGAUUGACUGAAUUUUUCAUUGUUUUAAAGACUCAGCCUCAAUCUCCUAAGGAAUGCUACAUGGAAGCUUCAAUAAAAAUUAAAUUCAACAUUUAUUGUAUUUAACU
rnacentral:lncRNA from 1 species